CAGCUCCCGUGCCUGUCCGGUCCCGGAGUUGAAUAGUUUUUGAAGUAAUGAGACGGGAACGAGACUUGGGACGAACUGGAGAAAAACAUAACCGCGAAAGGAGGAGGCGGCUAUCACUUACUGGCUGUGUCAGAAGUCGCCGGGAACGCGUUGCUCCCGAGGCCGAAGGGCCCAGAGAGCUCCAGCCAGGCAGCGGGUUCGUCUCCGGCGCAAGAAGGCUGGCUGUCUUUAGUCAAGUCAAGCUCAUUCUGAAGCCUUUCCUGGGAGUCCUGAAGACUAGCAAUAAGUCCUUCUGCAGAGCCAAGACCUUGUUCACUUUUCCUUACCAUAUCUUGGAGGUGGCCAAUCUUGUGACGACACAUCAAGAAGGUGACCACCUGCAAGCCAGGAACAGAGCGCUCACUGUGGAACUGAAUUGGCUGCUACCUUGAUCUUGGACUUCCCAGCUCCCAGACUGGAGGAUAGGGAGAAGAUGUGCCUCGCUAUUGAAGAUCCAAUGCUCCAGUGGAAGAAGAUCGUCGUCAGAAAAUAUUAGUCUAGUAUGGAAGAAGAUGGGAUGACUCCACUGACAACUCUCUAGAGAGAAAUGAUCCUACAUUUCUGUAGUUGUCUGAAUUUAAUGAAUAUUUGGAAAACAGAUGGGUUGGGCAGUGUGAGGAUGAACAUUUAGGUAACAACCUAAACCAACCUGCCUUCCACUUUGUUGGUUACCACUAAGAUGGCUGCUGUUUGUGUUUUCUUUUUCCCUUUCAGAGCCCACUUUCUUUCUUUUGUUUGUUUCUAUUUUUCUUUAACCUUUUUCCAGCUUUACCGAUGUAUGACAAAUACAAAUAGUAUAUACUGGAAGGUGUACAGUGUGAUGUUUUGAUAUACACUACUUCUGUGGAUAUACACCAUCUUCUGUGGUGGAUAUACAUCAUCUUCUGAUGUGGAUACACAUCAUCUUCUGUGGAUAUACACCAAGAAUUAGGAUUGCUGGAUCAUAUGGUAGCUCUAUUUUUAAUUUUUUGAGAAACCUCCAUACUGUUUUCCAUAAUGGCUAUAUCAAUUUUCAUUGCCACCAACAGUGUACAAAGGUUCCCUUUAUUCUGCAUCCUCACUAAGACUGAUUACCUCUUGAAUUUUUGAUAAUAGCCAUUUAAAAAGGUAUGAGGUGAUAUCUCACUGUGGUUCUAAUCUGCAUUUCCCUGAUGAUUUGUGAUGUUGAGCAUCUUUUCACUACUGGCCAUCUGUACGUCUUCUUUGGAAAAAUGUCUCUUCAGGUCCUUUGCCUAUUUUGAAAUCAGGUUGUUUUUCUGCUACUGAAUUGUAAGUUCCUUAUAUAUUUUGGAUAUUAACCCCUUAUCAGAUAUAUGGUUUGCACACAUUUUUGUUGUGUUUUUAGUUGAUUGUUUCCUUUGCUGUAAGGAAACUUUUUAGUUUGAUGUAGUUUCAUGUGUUUAUGUUUGCUUUUGUUGCCUGUGUUUUUGGGUCGAAUCCAAAAAAUCAUUGCCAAGCUCAAUGUCAAGGAGCUUUUCCCCUGUUGUUUUCUCCUAGGAGUUUUAUGGUUUCAGGUCUUACAUUUAAGUCUUUAAUUCAUUUUGAGUUGUUUUUUUUUUUGUGCUGUUUAUAUUUUGAAAUUACAUUUGUUGCUCUGCUAGUUACCAGGCAUAUUCAUCUCUAGGAAAGUUAUUUUCUGCCAUCACAUCCUACUAAUCCUAUUAAUUAUAUGGUCAAAUAAAAAUUUCCAUCGUACAAAAAUUGCCAUCUGCAAUCUGGUUCUCAUUUAUUGACUGUAGACAAAAAUAAUAAAGUUUAAGACUAAAACCCUAA
ensembl:lncRNA novel transcript, antisense to FAM184A